GACGAACGCUGGCGGCGUGCUUAACACAUGCAAGUCGAACGGAAAGGCCCUGCUUUUGUGGGGUGCUCGAGUGGCGAACGGGUGAGUAACACGUGAGUAACCUGCCCUUGACUUUGGGAUAACUUCAGGAAACUGGGGCUAAUACCGGAUAGGAGCUCCUGCUGCAUGGUGGGGGUUGGAAAGUUUCGGCGGUUGGGUAUGGACUCGCGGCUUAUCAGCUUGUUGGUGGGGUAGUGGCUUACCAAGGCUUUGACGGGUAGCCGGCCUGAGAGGGUGACCGGCCACAUUGGGACUGAGAUACGGCCCAGACUCCUACGGGAGGCAGCAGUGGGGAAUAUUGCACAAUGGGCGGAAGCCUGAUGCAGCAACGCCGCGUGCGGGAUGACGGCCUUCGGGUUGUAAACCGCUUUCGCCUGUGACGAAGCGUGAGUGACGGUAAUGGGUAAAGAAGCACCGGCUAACUACGUG
rnacentral:rRNA from 1 species